rnacentral:rRNA from 1 species
CGCAAGCCUGACGGAGCUACACCGCGUGAGGGAAGACGGCCUUUGGGCUGUAAACCUCUUUUCUCAGGGAAGAAGGACUGACGGUACCUGAGGAAUCAGCCUCGGCUAACUCCGUGCCAGCAGCCGCGGUAAUACGGAGGAGGCAAGCGUUAUCCGGAAUUAUUGGGCGUAAAGCGUCCGCAGGGGGUCUUCCAAGUCUGCUGUCAAAGGUCGGAGCUCAACUCCGGUUCGGCAGUGGAAACUGGUGGGCUAGAGGGCGACAGGGGUAGAGGGAAUUCCCAGUGUAGCGGUGAAAUGCGUAGAGAUUGGGAAGAACACCGGUGGCGAAAGCGCUCUACUGGGUCGCACCUGACCCUCAGGGACGAAAGCUAAGGUAGCG